GAUGAACGCUGGCGGCGCGCCUAAUACAUGCAAGUCGAGCGAACAGACGAGGAGCUUGCUCCUUUGACGUUAGCGGCGGACGGGUGAGUAACACGUAGGUAACCUACCUAUAAGACUGGGAUAACUUCGGGAAACCGGAGCUAAUACCGGAUAAUAUUUUGAACCGCAUGGUUCGAUAGUGAAAGAUGGCUUUGCUAUCACUUAUAGAUGGACCUGCGCCGUAUUAGCUAGUUGGUAAGGUAACGGCUUACCAAGGCAACGAUACGUAGCCGACCUGAGAGGGUGAUCGGCCACACUGGAACUGAGACACGGUCCAGACUCCUACGGGAGGCAGCAGUAGGGAAUCUUCCGCAAUGGGCGAAAGCCUGACGGAGCAACGCCGCGUGAGUGAUGAAGGUCUUCGGAUCGUAAAACUCUGUUAUUAGGGAAGAACAAACGUGUAAGUAACUGUGCACGUCUUGACGGUACCUAAUCAGAAAGCCACGGCUAACUACGUG
rnacentral:rRNA from 1 species